rnacentral:rRNA from 1 species
CCCUUAGAUGUCCUGGGCCGCACGCGCGCUACACUGAACGGAUCAGCGCGUUUUCCCUUCCCGAGAGGGACGGGUAACCUGCUGAACCCCGUUCGUGGUAGGGAUCGUGGCUUGCAAUUAUUCCCCGUGAACCAGGAAUGCCCAGUAAGUGCAAGUCAUAAGCUUGCGUUGAUUACGUCCCUGCCCUUUGUACACACCGCCCGUCGCUACUACCGAUUGAACGUUUUAGUGAGGUACUCGGACUGAGCCUCAGAAGAUUCACGUCUUUUGUGCUGCUCGGGAAGAUUCCCAAACUUGAGCGUUUAGAGGAAGUAAAAGUCGUAACA